CUCGUAGGCGGCCAACUAAGUCGGACGUGAAAUCCCUCGGCUCAACCGGGGAACUGCGUCCGAUACUGGAUGGCUUGAAUCCGGGAGAGGGAUGCGGAAUUCCAGGUGUAGCGGUGAAAUGCGUAGAUAUCUGGAGGAACACCGGUGGCGAAGGCGGCAUCCUGGACCGGCAUUGACGCUGAGGAGCGAAAGCCAGGGUAGCAAACG
rnacentral:rRNA from 1 species